ensembl:lncRNA
CAAAGAGCCUCUAAUUAUGAAUUGCCCUCCUAGGUAGAAAUGCCUUGUAAGAGAGUAAUAAAUGUACAAGAGCAUCCAGUCUACUCAAUAGUUGUAUUGUUUGUUGUUAAGCAAUAAGUUGGCGCUUAAUGGGUCAAUGCCCUAAAAUUGGAUUACUUUGGUGGAUGCUAACAUCGAAUUUUCUGAGUCUAGAAAGGUUUAGAGGCAACAUAAUCUAGUAGCUGAAAUAUAGAUUCUUGAGCCAGACUGCUUGGAUAUGGAUCCCGGCAUUACUACUUACCAGCUAUGUGACUUUGGGAGAACUUGCUAAUUGAAGUUGAAGGAUUAAACAUCCUCCUGAAAGCUUUCAAGCUAAUGAGGUAACAAAAGCCCAGAGAACAAAAUUUAAGCAAAGCAAGUUAGUUCUUGAAAUGAAACUCUUGAAACUCCAACUUGAGAAGAAAAAGAAUCAGGAAGAGAAAAAACUAGAAAAAGAAAAAAUGACGGAUUAUGAGAUACUUAUGAAAGGAAGUAUUUUUUUGUUUUUAUAUUUAGCUUUUUCAUUUACAUGCACUGCAUAGAUUGUACUAUGGUUCUGAAGUUGUAAAAUAUGUCUCUUCCUUACGUCUCUUCUCUCACUGCUUGAAAAUGUAAAAAAGAGAUAACUCCCCUUGCCUUUGUCUUACAUGUGCAGGAUUGCAAACUCAGAUGCCUACUUGGCCAACCCCAGAGAGGGCUGUCCAAAGUUGGGGGACACGUGGCCAUGAAAGGGGCUGCAGAGACUAGUUAAACUUGUUACUGUGCGAACUCUGCCGGCUGUUGCCUUUCCUUGGCUUCCUUCUCAACUCCAUGUGUACAGACCUGCCCCAAAGAUCUAUUCAUUAAUCAUUCACUCAAAAAUACAGCCUGAGCGCUUCCUAUAUUGCUGAGUCAUGCCUUCAAGGGUACAUCAUCACAAUCAGUUACCACAGAACAAAGAGAGGUUCCGAGCUGGCGAGUGUGUGUGACGCUGGACAGUCAGGCCUGUCACCUGUCCAAAUACUAAGCAUCUUCUCUUGAGCCCUUAACCCCAUUUCUGCUGGCUCACAAAGAGGAAAGCAACCACAUUCUUACAAUCAGUCUUCACUCUAUCCAUACUGAUGGCCUGAGCAAGAGAGGAAGCAGGGGCCCAGACUGGUCAUUUCCAAAGUGGGAUGCACACUCCUGGCGUAGGAGGGGAGCAAGACGUCCCAUUUGGUGUGGAAACUGCUACUAGAAAAUUUCUACUAAUUUUGUCUUAAAAAAAAAAUAAAGCUUUACCAAAAUUUCAUAUGUGAAUUGUCAUUGACUGCUCACAUGGUCCGGUCCUCAGACAGCCAAGUGCCACACUGGGACAGGGCCUUCCACUUUUGCUCACAUGGAACUUGUGGCCAUGCAUCUCAGGUUGUGUGUGCCCUGUUAGGUAGCCUCACCGAUUAUAUUAGCAGCUUUCUAAAACCAAUCCUCACAAAAUGGACAAGCGGCUUUAAAAGAAAAUCCUGUAAAGAAACAUCUGACUGAGGAUAAUACUCUUAACCCAAGCACAAGGGAGCAAGAACAUACCAGAGCACUUCUCCUCCACCCAGUAUGAGCUCUUAAUCAGCCACAUAAGGAGGCAAAAACAACGGUGAUCUAAGCAGGUCUUAUUUGGAGUAAGCCAAAAAAUUCAAAAUUAUCAAGAAAACUUUGAGAUAAGGAUUUAUGUCCACUAUAAUUAACAGCAAACCUCACCAUAUGCGAAUUUUGGAUACUGAGCAGUGAGCCUUGUGGCGUGUCUUUCUCAGCAUGACAGUCAAGCCCAGCGUUGAGACACACUCAACUUAGGACUGAUCUUUCAAAUUGCUUUAUCACAAAGUGUUAAACCAACAUUUCCAAAAAUAAAGAACCAUAUUCAAACACCUUUCUCUCAUGGAGCAGAAGUUUUUAUAUGAUUAUUACAUUUAAAGAAUUACUUUUAAAAUAAUGUUAUAUUCUAAUCUUACCCUUUUAUUUUAUUUUAUUUUUAAAGAUUGGCACCUGAGCUAACAACUGUAGCCAAUCUUCUUCUUUUUUUUUUUCCGCUUUUUUUUCUCCCCAAAUCCCCCCAGUACAUAGUUGUAUAUUUUAGUUGUGGGUCCUUCUAGUUGCGGCAUGUGGGACGCCACCUCAACAUGGCCUAAUGAGCCGUGCCAUGUCUGCGCCCAGGAUCCGAACCCUGGGCCGCCAAACCAGAGCACGUGAACUUAACCACUCAGCCACGGGGCUGGCCCUCGAAUCUUAUCCUUUUAAAUAUCUUUUUGUACAUGUUUUACAAUAUACAUGUUAGCACAAUAGCACAUGUAUAUAAUAAAUAAACAUUAAAUAAAAAUAUAAAUACAUCAAAUAUAAAGUAAAUAGCAUAAAAUAUAAAAUAAAAUAUAAACAUUAUAUAAAAAUAUAAAUACAUUGGAGGUGCAUGCUCAAGUUUCUUUUUCUCACAGGAUACAAAUCAUAAAAGGCUGCAUUCCACUGAUGUAGGUGAGCGGUGACAGUGAUGUGGACUAGAGAGGGGAGGUGGAAAUGGAAAGAAGCCAUCCAUUCUUAGAUAUGUUGUGGGGGGAUUUCCAAUGACACUUGCUGAGGGCUUAGAUAUAGGACAUAAGAGAGAAGCAGGAACCGAUGAAAACUCCCAGAUUUCUGGCUUGAGCAACUGGAGGAUGGCAGUUCUACCUAAGGGAAAAGCAAGAAAAUCAAAGACUAGUGUUGGACAUGUUGCAUGUGCGCAAUUAAAAGGUAAAGUUCUGAGGAGGCGUCUGCGACUGAGACAUGGAUUUGGAAGUUUUCAACUGUAGAUGCUGUAGGUAAAGGUUGGCAUCGCCCAUGGAGACCAGAGAAGGGGAUCAGGGAAGAGUCCUGGGGAGCCCUUUGAGGACAAAUGGAAUAGAAGUCGCUGGCAAAGAAGGCAGAAAACCGGGGAAAUACCCAGGAGAAGAGAAAAUAUUAUGAAAGGAUGAAUGCUCUGACCACGUGGUAUCCUCCUGAAACUCUACCAAAAUGGCAAUAAAGGAAUAAAACAAGUACAAAGCCACAAGAACAAAGAAAGCAAGAGAAGAGAGUGGAUGAACGUAGAGCUUAACAACAUUUGGAAAGAUGUAAACCAAAAAGAGAAGUAGCAACUAAGGUAGAAGUCAGUAGCAGUUGAGGUCAGAGUGUGGGGUUCAAAAGAAUGAUUUUGGGGUGGCUGGAUGAGGUGGAAGAAAAUAGGUCCUUGGGGGUGAGGAAGUCAAAGGUCUAAAGUCUAUGAGGUCUGGGCAAGGACAGGUUGUCUGCAAAGAGGAGACAUCUCUGAGAUUAUGCAGAUGGUAGCAGGUAUGUAUGAAAUCUGUGAUGCCAUUGGUGGGACAAUGACAUAUAGAUUAUGCAGAGUGUAGAAUUUACAUAUCAUAGAAUAUAUAUAAUAUUAUAUGCAUUAUAGAAUGUUUAUAUACACACACAUAACAUUUCUGGGAGAAUACACACAAAGCUGUUUUAAAAAAUUUAGACCCUCCUAUAUUAUUGAGAGUGUUUACCAUGAACAUAAAGGACUUUUAAAAUAAGAAAAAAGUUUUUCAUUAGUUCCUUCUGAUAGUUUUCAUAUCAGGACUGUAAUGUCUUUCUUAGUUACAUCUUACAUUACAUUUGGGGUAUGGUUUAAGUUUCUAGAUUCUGAAGCUUUUGAACACAAAUUUCCUAUACAUCUUUAAUGGGAUCUAUUCUAAGGACCAAAAAAAAAAAAAAACGAAAACAAAACUGUGCUUUCUAUGAAGAAAACUAUUGUUUGUUUCUGAGUCAACUCAGAGCUUGAACUGAUUCUAUCUUCUGUUUUGAAGGUAACAUUCCUUAGAGUGUAGGAUGGGGCAAUUGAACCAGCAGGGAGGUUUGUCAUCACCUAGUUGCAUGGUAUUACCUGGGUUAUUUAAUUUCCUCGUCUGCAAAAUGGAAAGGAUACUCUACCUGCCUCACAGGUUGGAUGUGACCUUUUUGUUUUUCCCCGAGGAAGAUUCACCCUGAGCUAACAUCUGCUGCCAAUCCUCCUCUUUUUGCUGAGGAAGACUGGCCCUGAGCUAACAUCCACGCCCAUCUUCCUCUACUUUAUAUGUGGGAUGCCUGCCACAGCAUGGCUUGAUAAGCGGUAUGUAGGGCUGCACCCGGGAUCCGAACCCAUGAACCCUGGGCCGUAUAUGGGUUAUUUAAAAAGCCUCUUAAGAGACCUUCUUGCUUUUGCCACAUACAGACCAUUCUCAGCCAGCUGCAGAAAGACCCUAAAUGUUGUCAAACCAUUUUACUUUACUCAAAAAAACCCCCAGUGUCUCACCAUCUCACUCAAAGAAGCUAAAAUCCUUACAAUGAGCUCCCAGAUCCCCUCCUACUCUGCCCCCAACCUUACUCCCACCCCCAUGUCUUUCUGACUUUUUCUCCUGACUUUUCUUCCUCUUCCCUCUGCUCCAAGCGCACACCCCUCAGAGCUCUGCACUGGCUCUUCUCAGCCUACAGCACUUUCCCGUGAUAGCCACAGGCCCACCCGUCAAAGCCUUUCAGAGCUUUGUUCGAAGGUCACCCUCUCUAGCCACUUCAUUUAAAUUUGCAGCAUGAACUAUCCCUCAUCUUCCUUCUCUGCUUAACUUAUUUUCUAUAGUACUUGUAUUUAUUACCACCAUCUUUUUAUUUCACUUCAUUUAAGUGGUAGGACUAAAACUUUUACUCCCAGUCCAAUAUCUUCUAAUUAUUUUUUCUAAAUAAUACAGUAAAAAAAAUCAAACAGUUUUUGUUAAAUAAGAGAACGAGGGGCCAGCCCAGUGGCACAGCGGUUAAGUUCGCACGUUCCGAUUCAGUGGCCCGGGGUUUGCCUGUUCGGAUCCCGGGUGCGGACAUGGCACCACUUGGCAAGCCAUGCUGUGGUAGGCGUCCCACACAUAAAGUAGAGGAAGAUGGGCAUGAAUGUUAGCUCAGGGCCAGUCUUCCUCAGCAAAAGGAGGAGGAUUGGCAGUAGUUAGCUCAGAGCUAAUCUUCCUCAAAUAAAUAAAUAAAUAAAUAAAUAAAUAAAGAGAAUGAGAGAAGAAUAAUGACUCUAUGGACAAUGAAAGCACACCAGAAAAACAUAUCCGAAAAAGAAAUGAAAACUAUAGCCAUCAUAAUAUUCCAGAAUGAGCUAAAAGAAAAUGACAGAAACUAUAAGAGAAAAGAUAGAUUACAAUGAGAAAAACUCUGAAAUGAAGUGAUUUGAAAAAAGAUUCAAAAAGAGAGAUAAGAAAAACCCAGGAAAGAUCAGAAAUAAAUGAAAAUGGUCAUUUCAAAAAUGAAGACUAGAGUGAAUAAACACAAGAAAUUAUGUUUUAAAAGAAAUGGGAGGGGGCUGGGCCGGUGGCCGGUGGUUAAGUUCGGCAUGCUCUGCUUCGGUGGUCCUGGUUCCAUUCCCAGGAGCAGGCCCACACCACUUGUCAGCAGCCAUACUGUGGCGGCAACCCACAUACAAAAUAGAGAAAGACUGGCACAGAGGUUAAGUCAGGGUGAAUUUUCCUCAAGCAAAAAGAGAAAGAUUAGCAACAGAUGUUAGCUUAGGGCGAAUCUUCCUCAGGCAAAAAAAAAAAAAAAACAAGAAAGAAAGAAAUGGGAAAGGAAAAUGUUAAAAAUAAAAAGAGAGCUUGAGGAAAAAAUAAAGAAUUCAAGAAGAAAUGAAAUCUACAGAAGACGAAGAUUCAACAUAUAUAAAGAGGUUCUUAAAGUAAUGGAAUAAAUACUAAAAACCAUAAUCCAAGAAAAUUUCCUUGAGACAAAAGAAAACCUGAAACUAAAUACUGAAAAGGCACACUAUGUAUCUGGGAAAACUGACCCAAGAGGCCAACACUGAGACACAGUCUAGUAAAAUUAUUGGACCUAACCAAAAAGAAAAAAAAUACUUCAGCUAUCAGGCAAAAAGAACAAGUCACUUACAAAGGAAAGAAAAUAAGAUUACUGUUAGACGGUAUGAUAGCAAUGCUUUAUGCCAGAAGACAAGAAACAUAUUUAAGAUACUUAAUAUGAGGUAAAGCUUUUAUAUCCAGACAAACCGAUCUUCAAAUAUCAAGACCAUAGACAAACAGUUAGGAAAAUGUAAGAAAUCAGAAUAGUCUCUCCAUGAGCCCUUCCUAAGGAAUCUACUAGAGAAGAGAGGUUCAGAUAACCAAAACGAGGGGGAGGCAUUGGCAUGAGAAAUUGUAGCAAUGAUCAUCUAUGAUGGAUAACAUCAAAAAAGGACAGAUCGUUGUACAUCAGGUACUUCCUGAUGGAAAUGCACACCACCACCUAUGAAGGAUUCUUGUCAAACACUAAAUAUGAAAUAUGAAUCUGAUCAAGCCUAGAUCUAAGUACUAAUUUACAGGAAAUAGAGCACACAGGAACACAUUAAAUGACAAAAUUCAGAGUGGGAUACUCUUCAGGACAAAGGACCUGGUCUCUUCAAGAACAACAAAACUGCAAGAAAAAAAGAGGUAAGUAUUAAAAAGAGACGAGAUACUUAAUGAUCAAUUGCAAUGUUUGGAUCCUGAUUCAAAUAAACUGUGUAAAAUGUAUAAUACAAUAGGUUAAAUGUGAACACUAUUAGAUAACUGGUAUUAAGGAAUUAUUCAUUUUGUGUAUGUGAUGUGGCACUUGAGUUAUGUAACAGCAGAGUAUUUAUCUUUUAAAGAUAUAUACUGAAAUAUUUUCACAUGAAUAUGUCUGUGGUUUGUUUCUAAAAAAAUUAGGGGGUAGUGGGUGGGAGCAUAGAGGAAAUAAGCUUAAGUUUGAGUAGAUAAUUGUUCACACUGGG